rnacentral:misc_RNA from 1 species
CUGGUUAUAAACGCAUCCAACAGAUUAGCUAUCUACCUCACUUAUCACUUCUUUAUCUGGAUCGGUAUCUUCUCCCUGUGGCUAGGCAUCUUUGUCGAGGGAGUUUGGCUCGCCAUCUCCCUCCGUUGCGCCCUCGCGCCCUCCCACCCUAGGGGACAGUUUCAGUUCCCAUGUUUCCUCCCUCUCCUGCUCAUCGGCCACAAAGUUUUCCCUCGGUGUCACCUCCUGCUCGUCGGCCACGGAGUUUCCCUCGGCGUCGCUCACCAUGAAGGGUGA